CUUUGACACAUAAAUACCCAUUUAACAUAAAUAAUACACAUUUUAUGGCCAAACAGAACAGUAAGAAGAAAAGGAUUCUUCCCUUUUCUGAAAACAACUAAAUAAGUAGCAUAAAUAUAGAUGGCAAGCCAAUCAAAUAACAGUCCAAACGACCUGUGUUGAUGUUUGCAAUUAAUCCAUGUCAUUAUGAUCCAAAUGAUUCUGCACUCAGAGUAACUACCAUUGAGGACACUGAGGUCAUGUCCUCGUGUCCAUGGCAAUUUGGGAGUUUACAUUUUACAAUUAAAAGCUCACACGUGGUGGGUGUUUUAACGGCUGAUUCCAGUAUUUUUAAAUUUAUUUAAAUUGGAAAAUGUUUGGACUUAAAAAAGGAAAUAAAUGAUUCAGUACCUCAGAUCUUAUUCCUGGCUGUAUGAAAGCUUUCCAGCAGCAUUCAGACAUUCAUGUUGGGGAAUAAAAUUUACAGAAACUGAACAGAAUAACAGAAUAAACAAAGUAUGAUGAAUCAAAAUAGUUAGAGACCAUUAUAAGUGUCGGGUCCAGAUUUUCUGAUGGGGAUGGGUGGGAUGUUGGGGAGACUUGUUCUCAUGACGGCAGUAUUUAAAAUCUUGGCUGAGACCCUGAUCAAGAUGUACUUAUGUCUGUUAUAAAAGUUGGGUGAACUUCUCUGCAAAAACGGACAAAUGGUAAAUGUAUUUUUGUUCAGUUUAACUUCACCUUACUCUUCUUGAACUUAACUUCAAUCAGCCACUCAGGGUCUUAACUCCACUGUGGCAUUUCAGAAACUUUCAGUUAGAUCUAUUAAUUAGAUCAUUUUACCCACAGAGAGAAACUUGCCAUCUGCCACUAGCGGGUAUGGCGGUUUGAGUGGUUACAGCCUGAUUUCGCUCUUUCUAAUAAUCAAAUUAUGAUUCUGGAUUAAAACAGUUUGACCACAGAUAUUUCAGAUCAGGUCGCUUCAGAAGGAAUUGCUGUGAGGUGUGAGUCAGCGUUGGUGCGCUGUAAAGCUGACAGCCUUCGUGAGGAAGCCAGUGUUGUAUCGACACAAAGCUGUCCGGCGUCCAAGGUUGCCUCCUCUUGUCCUUGUUGUUGUCACAGCAACAGAAAAGGCCUGGAUGUUGGAGAUAUGGGCUGGCGGCCUUUUUCUUUUUUUUGUUGUUGUUACAUUUAGUCCCAUGAUUCUCCACAGCAGCCGUUUAAAUCAGCGGAGGUCACUCAGUUUUCAGGGCAAAAGGAAAUGUGGUGUGAUACUGCAACUCAGCACAUUGCCAAAAACCGGUUUCUCCAGCGCUGCCAUCUGCGGAGGGGAUCCCACAGCGGCCCUCUCCCCUGAGACACCAUGAGAAUACCGUCUCCAAAAAUAGAGGUCUCCUCCUUUCCCUCCAACUCUUCCGCUCUUCCAGGUCCUCACAUCAGUCAGUGUCCGGUCUCGUUCAUACGAAGGACAGAGCAUCCCAGUCUACCUUCGAAUGCUACACGGACUCACCCACUACGCUACGUUGAGAAAACUACCACUUGGAACCCCGAACCCCGGCUCCCGUCUGUCUCCAGUCUCCAGUCUCCUGAGUGUGUCGCCCCAGUGCCCACACUCUUCCACCAGCAGUGAGAUAAAGGACAGUAUCAAUACCAUUCCAUAUUACCUCUGUGUUGUAAUAAACUCUCUCA